rnacentral:siRNA from 1 species
UGUUAGUGUUAAUUGAGUUGC